rnacentral:rRNA from 1 species
AGUGAAUAGAUACCCAGGUAGUCCACGCCCUAAACGAUGCUGACUAGUUGUUCGGGAUUUACAUCCUGAGUAAACGUAGCUAAACGCGUGAAGUCAGCCGCCUGGGGAGUACGGUCGCAAGAUUAAAACUCAAAGGAAUUGACGGGGACCCGCACAAGCGGUGGAUGAUGUGGAUUAAUUCGAUGCAACGCGAAAACCUUACCUACCCUUGACAUGUCACUAACGAAGUAGAGAUACAUUAGGUGCUCGUAAGAGAAAGUGAACACAGGUGCUGCAUGGCUGUCGUCAGCUCGUGUCGUGAGAUGUUGGGUUAAGUCCCGCAACGAGCGCAACCCUUGUCUUUAGUUGCUACGCAAGAGCACUCUAAAGAGACUGCCGGUGACAAACCGGAGGAAGGUGGGGAUGACGUCAAGUCCUCAUGGCCCUUAUGGGUAGGGCUUCACACGUCAUACAAUGGUGCAUACAGAGGGUUGCCAACCCGCGAGGGGUAGCUAAUCUCAGAAAAUGCAUCGUAGUCCGGAUCGUAGU